GUAUUUUUCCUUCAUUCAUGUGUUUAAUCUGAUACUGUUAUAGCUCCGGCUAAACUGUUUAUGUAUGUAAGCACUUCAGAGUUAUACCAAGUGUCACGUUGCGUCAAUUCGAAUCUGGUAUUAGGAUAUAAACAACCCAUGCAACUUAGUUUUGCAAUGAUUAUUUAAUUCAUAAAUAGAAUGAUAGUACAAAUGGAAAAUGUGAUGUUCGUAUACGGUCUCGCUGUGACACCACGCAGGGCAGACAGAGAAGAGCGCGUCACAUUCUAUUGUUCUCUCUUUUUAUACUCUGACGGUGAUAGUUCCCGCCCAAUGCUGGCCUGUCAGAGGGAGGAGGAGCGUGGUUUAAACUUGCUCCUCCUGUCGUCGGCGUGCAGGCUGAUCCCAGCGUCGUGACGCACUUCCUGUUGCCGGUUGUAGUUCUUCUUGUCUUCAACAGUUAAUUUACCCGUAGUUUAUAUACUUAAUAUUGUAGCAUAGCUUCCCCGGUAUAUUAUUUAAGUUAUGCAUACAAAUAGCCAGUUCAACCCUAACACAAGCUAAUAAGUCACUCAUAAGACAAGAAGGUUGUAAGAGUGUGCUGUAUUUUCAUUUACUUUAUAGUGAUAGGUGAUAAUUCUGACUAAAGCUACAGAAUAAAGCCGCAGGUUAAAAUCAAGGAACGGUUGUGCUCGUGGUUACUGGAGGGAGCUACAACAGUUGUGAAUCUGAUGCAGCCGAAGAGCUACUGCCCCUUUACCCGGGAAAGCACCGAACAACAGACAUGAACGUUAGACCAUCGAAGAGGCGCAAAUAUGAUGAGAACUACAUUGAUUUUGGGUUCACUUAUAUUGGGAGUAGUGCCUUUCCUCAGUCACAGUGUUAUGUGCAAAAGUACCAUCUCACAACUCGAUCACACCUUCUCUCUUGCGCAGACAUUUAGAAACAAAACAACAACAACAACAAAACAGCAAUUGGCAUGCUGACUGCAGGAAUAUCCACCGGACCUGUUGCCAGAGAACUGAAUAUUAAUUUAUCUACCAUAAGUCGCCUCCAACGUUGUGUUAGAGAAUUUGGCAGUACAUCCAACCGCAGACCACUUAUAACAAUGUCAGCCCAGGAGGUCCACAUCGUCUGAGACCAGCCACCUGGACAGCUGAUGAAACUGAGGAGUAUUUCUCUCUAUAAUAAAGCCAUUUUGUGGGGAAAAAUGAAUUAUGAUUGGCUGGGCUGGGUAAUGCCCUCCCAGGACCACCAAUGGCUGCCCCCCUGUCAAGUCAAGUGAAGUCCAUAGAUUAGGGCCUAAUGAAUUUAUUUACAUUGACUUAUUUUCUUAUUUGAACUGUAAAUCGUAGAAAUUGUUGCAUGUUGCGUUUAUAUUUGUGUUCAAUAUAUAUACAGUGCCUUCGGAAAGUAUUCAGACUCUUUGACUUUGUCCAAAUUUUGUUAGGUUACAGCCUUAUUCUAAAAUUGAUUAAAUCAUUUUUUCCCCCUCAUCAGUCUACACACAGGACCCCAUAAUGACAAAGCAAAAACAUAAGACAUUUUUGCUAAUUUACUAAAAAUAACAAACUGAAAUAUCACAUUUACAUAAGUAUUCAGACCCUUUACUCAGUACUUUGCUGAAUCACCUUUAGCAGCGAUUACAGCCUAGUCGUCUUGGGUAUUUGCGGAGUUUCUCCCAUUCUUCUCUGCAGAUCCCCUCAAGCUGUCAGGUUGGAUGGGGAGCGUCGCUACACAGGAUAAGCAAUGGAAGCAUGAUGAACAGGUUGGAUGGGGAGCGUCGCCACACAGGAUAAUCAAUGGAAGCAUGAUGAACAGGUUGGAUGGGGAGCAUCGCUACACAGGAUAAUCAAUGGAAGCAUGAUGAACAGGUUGGAUGGGGAGCAUCGCUACACAGGAUAAUCAAUGGAAGCAUGAUGAACAGGUUGGAUGGGGAGCAUCGCUACACAGGAUAAUCAAUGGAAGCAUGAUGAACAGCUCAGUUUCGAGUCUCAUAGCAAAGGAUCUGAAUACUUUCUAUUUUUUAAUACAUUUGCAAAUGUAACCGAUGUGAAAUGGCUAGUUAGUUAGCGGUGGUGCGUGCUAAUAGCGUUUCAAUCAGUGACGUCACUCGCUCUGAGACUUGAAGUGGUUGUUCCCCUUGCGUUGUAAGGGCCGCGGCUUUUGUGGCGCGAUGGGUAACGUUGCUUCGUGGGUGUCAGUUGUUGAUGUGUGCAAGGGUCCCUGGUUCGAGCCCGGGUUGGGACGAAGAGAGGGACGGAACCUACACUGUUACACAAACAUUUCUAAAAUCCUGUUUGCUUUAUCAUUAAGGAAUAUUGUGUGUAGAUUGAUGAGCAAUAUUAUUUUUUUUAAUCCAUUUUAGAAUCAGGCUGUAACUUAACAUAAUACGGAAAAAGUCAAGGGUUCUGAAUACUUUCCGAAGGCGCCAUAUAUAGUGUAUAUAAUAAUGUAUAUAGUGUAUAUAAUAAUGUGUAUAGUGUAUAUAAUAAUGUAUAUAGUGCAUAUAAUGUGUAUAGUGUAUAUAAUAAUGUAUAUAGUGUAUAUAAUAAUGUGUAUAUAAGUGUAUAUAAUAAUGUAUAUAGU
rnacentral:lncRNA from 1 species